rnacentral:rRNA from 1 species
UACGGAGGAUCCAAGCGUUAUCCGGAAUUACUGGGCGUAAAGAGUUGCGUAGGUGGCAUAGUAAGCAGAUAGUGAAAGCGUGUGGCUCAACCAUACUCACAUUAUUUGAACUGCUAAGCUAGAGGAUGAGAGAGGUUAUUGGAAUUCCCUGUGUAGGAGUGAAAUCCGUAGAUAUAGGGAGGAACACCGAUGGCGUAGGCAGAUAACUGGCUCAUUCCUGACACUCAGGCACGAAAGCGUGGGGAGCAAACGGG